rnacentral:lncRNA from 1 species
GAAAAAAGACACCUUCCCAGCAUCAAACAAAAUUAACAUGGCAGAAAUACCUUUAUUUGGGAACAUGGAACGGCACCCUUUGAUGGACUUGAUCUAAAAAAUGGUUCCAAAUCACCAUGCUCCUUCAUUGUCCUGGUGCACCAAUACCUGUGAAAGUCUGUGUAACAUUGAUGGGGCCAUACCUUGUAAGUCCUUCCCAUCGCUUAUGUUCUUCUGUACCAAGUUAUCCUGCAAACAAGGAACAGCAGAUAAUGCAAAGCUAACAGUAUCCCUGGACAGAGCAGGUGAAGUAUUGCCUGAGCAAUCUUGUAUGGAACAUUUUUUUUUUUCCAGUUCUGAUGGUUUGACAGGGAUAUCAAUGCUUAGGUUCUUGCUUGUGACAUGCCACUGUCUCCAGGUAUGGCAGUGUGAACAAAGGCUGUUGUGAUAUGUCUUGGCCUUUUAUUGUCCUCCUUAAGACUUGCUGUAUCUGGGCUCUUUCCCAGCUUCUCUUUUGGCUGCUGCUUAGGCACUUUGAAUCAGGUAUUUAUAGGUCCCCAGAGGCAAUGGGAAAUGCUAGGCGCAGGGACAGCUGUGGCAUUCAGGCUGGCUGAAUCUGGACGUGCCUUCUGCUGAGCCUAGUCCAUGGUGACCUCCCUUGUUAGGACACAAAGCACGAGUCUGCUCUAUGCAGCUCCCCCUCUGCUGUACCCAGCAGCAUCCACCCAUCACUCCAGCCAUUGGACUUUCUCUCUGAAGACUUCAUUUUGCUUUGUGUGUUUCUCCAGCAGGCAUUAGUUAAGCUGCUCACUGAAAAGCUUUUGAAGACAUUCCCCAGAGUUGGUGGCUGCUGAGCAUCAAGCAGUGGAAGAGCCUGAGGAGGUUUUGUUAGUCCUGGCUGACCAGAUUCCUGUUUCAUGUUUGAAAUAGAUCUGCAGCCAGUUGGUUAACAAAAUAUUAUUCUCAGGAUAACUACCUGAGCCACCUCGCCAAGCCAAAGAGUCAUAGUAGGGUUCCAGAAAGGCCAAUAUUAAAUCCAGAGACAUCAACAUUAGUGAAGUAGGACUAAAUUAUCUCCAUCUGUCUCUUGCUCUUGCCUGAGGCAGAGAAAUAAGUAGCUCCCUUGAAAAGAAGAAAAGAUGAAGGCUGUGUUAAUGAGGACCAUAACAAAGCUUGUGGCUCAGGUCACGUUCUUUUUCCAGUCCUAUCAGGUUUGGUCAAAGAAUAUCUCAACUCCCAUUGCUUGCCUGCCAACUGCUCUACCAGAGCUCAGUUUCCUUGGCAGUGAGAACAGCUGCGCCACCAUGCAGCAUCAGAGACAUGAGCUGGCCCUGCUUUCAGGGGUGGUUUUGUAUAGGUGACACACUGCAGGUUGCAUUGCUCUUGAUUCAAUUAGCUGAUUUUAACUGUUAAUUGCAUAUUAAGCACAAACAGAAGUUGCUGCUAAG